rnacentral:tRNA from 1 species
GGGCUGAUGGUGAAAUCUGGUAUCACGUGCCGCUGGCCGCGGCGAGUUCCCGGGUUCAAAUCCCGGUCAGUCCA